rnacentral:rRNA from 1 species
UGCGGGUAGCAAUACCUGUGAUGACGAGUGGCGGAUGGGUGCGUAACGCGUAUGCAACCUGCCCCUUAUUGGAGGAUAACGUUGUGAAAACGGCGAUAAUAUUCCAUGUGUACCCUGGGGGGCAUCCCUUGGGGUAUAAAGAUUCAUUGAUAAGGGAUGGGCAUGCGUAUCAUUAGGUAGUUGGCGGGGUAACGGCCCACCAAGCCGACGAUGAUUAGGGGUCCUGAGAGGGCAACCCCCCACACUGGAACUGAGACACGGUCCAGACUCCUACGGGAGGCAGCAGUAGGGAAUAUUGGGCAAUGGAGGCAACUCUGACCCAGCCAUGCCGCGUGAAGGAAGGGCCGGUCCUAUGGAUUGUAAACUUCUUUUGUUGCAGAGUAAAGGCGGGGACGCGUCCCCGUGUGAGAGUAUGCGAUGAAUAAGCAUCGGCUAACUCCGUGCCAGCAGCUGC